rnacentral:lncRNA from 1 species
AAGGACCUCCCAAAAGAAAACAGCAGCAUGUGGCAAGACACCAGCACAGGAUGUUUAAGGAGCCGUUUGUGUUUGUAAGACAAUGGGGAGAGUGGUUGCCAAUGGGCAUGGAGAUAUAAGUUGAGGCAAAAAGAAGAAAGAGGCUCAUUUACUGAGGUAUUUGGAUAUUAUCUUGUAAGCAAUGGGAUGUCAAAAGAGGCUUUUAAGCAUGGGAAAGGGAAAUCAAAUCUGCUUUUUAGGAAGAUGGCUCUGGAGAAAGAGCAGAAAACAAAGUGAGGAAAAAAGUACCUGAAAUUCAAUAUAAUGUUUUUCUGCAGAAGUACAGGUACCAACAGGACCGUGGGUAUUUCUCUACCAUUAGGGAACUUUUAAUCUACUAGAGAGAUGGAUAUGGAUACAGUGGCACAAGAAAGAAUGCAACGAGAAUUAUGAGAUCAGCAUAAAGUACUACCAAGUGCCAAGGAGAAAGACUUUGAUCCUGACUAUACUUACGCUGGGUCUGUGUCUCUGCAAUUCAACUCUGAGCUCCGUGAGGUCAGGAGCUGGGUGUUUUUCAUCAUUGAAUUUGUGAACCUAACACAGUGUCUGACACUUAACUGACAUUCAGAAAAUAUUUAUUGAUUGGAAAUGGUUGUAAAUAGAUUAACAGAGAAGCUUGUUGUACGUAAAACUUCAGUAAAAAGUACUUGUCAAUCUCAAUUAAUUUUCUUAUACUCUAAUAGAGAAACAAAGUGACUGAAAACAAAUUCAGUUUCAAAAGAACAUGGAUAAUAAAAGUUAAUGUA